rnacentral:rRNA from 1 species
UGCGUAGGCGGGCUAAUAAGUCAGUGGUGAAAUCUUCCGGCUCAACCGGGAAACUGCCAUUGAUACUGUUAGCCUUGAGUUAGGUUGAGGUAGGCGGAAUGUGUAAUGUAGCGGUGAAAUGCUUAGAUAUUACACAGAACACCAAUUGCGUAGGCAGCUUACUGGACCUACACUAACGCUGAGGCACGAAAGCGUGGGGAGCGAACAGGAUUAGAUACCCUGGUAGUCC